CUUAAGUACCUGCGUGCUUACCAUGCAAGUCGAGCGUAAGGCCCUUCGGGGUACACGAGCGGCGAACGGGUGAGUAACACGCGAGCAACCUGCCCCUGACUCCGGGAUAAGCCGGGGAAACCCGGUCUAAUACCGGAUAGGACGCUUCGUCGCAUGGCGGGGUGUGGAAAGGUUUCUUUCCGGUCAGGGAGGGGCUCGCGGCCUAUCAGCUUGUUGGUGGGGUGAAGGCCUACCAAGGCGAUUACGGGUAGCCGGCCUGAGAGGGCGACCGGCCACACUGGGACUGAGACACGGCCCAGACUCCUACGGGAGGCAGCAGUGGGGAAUAUUGCGCAAUGGGCGGAAGCCUGACGCAGCGACGCCGCGUGGGGGAUGACGGCCUUCGGGUUGUAAACCUCUUUUACCACCGACGCAGGCCCGUGCUUCUGUGCGGGUUGACGGUAGGUGGGGAAUAAGGACCGGCCAACUACGUGCCAGCAGCCGCGGUAAUACGUAGGGUCCGAGCGUUGUCCGGAAUUAUUGGGCGUAAAGAGCUCGUAGGUGGCGUGUCGCGUCUGCUGUGUAAGUCCGGGGCUUAACUCCGGUUUUGCAGUGGAUACGGGCAUGCUAGAGGUAGGCAGGGGAGACUGGAAUUCCUGGUGUAGCGGUGAAAUGCGCAGAUAUCAGGAGGAACACCGGUGGCGAAAGGCGGGUCUCUGGGCCUUACCUGACGCUGAGGAGCGAAAGCGUGGGGAGCGAACAGGAUUAGAUACCCUGGUAGUCCACGCUGUAAACGUUGGGGCGCUU
rnacentral:rRNA from 1 species